ensembl:lncRNA
AUUUAAGGGCUGACUGCCAGUGGAGAAGGUUUUCUUUCUGGAGAUCCCUCUGUGGUGAAGCUUUCCCUUACAAACCUGGAAUCUUCAGAUAUGGUUGUUGUCAGUAUCUCCUCCAGAAGAUGUAACGUACAGUCUCUAUGCCCUGUGGAAUUCUGGAGAGUGCAUGCUUUCAUUGGAGUCUUCACAAAGCACUCACAACAGGGAAUCUACCAACCAGUUCUGUACCCAGCAGCAACUGGUGAAAAUGCCAGCUCUGGCUCUGAAGGAGUACUGCUGCUGAGGGCAGCCAGGCUACGAGCUCAUCACAGCCUUCUCCUCUUCCUCAACCUGAGGGGUGUAGCUGGUCCCCUGCCAGCCCCAUGCUGGGACCUGCUCCUGCCAUGCCACCUGGCUGUAGACUCUCUGACAUUUCUCCUCCUCUGCUGCUUUGAGGAUCCAUAUCUUAUACCAAACCACCACUACUCGUUUUUCAGACAGACCAGCAAAGUAAACAACAGCACCAAGGGGUUCACAUUCCACUCAGCUGCUCACCUCCGAAAGGGCAACCAAGGAGGCAAACCUUCCAGGCCCUGGGGUUAUUUUUCAUUUGCACUUUGUGUGAAGUCAAUUUAGCAAUGUUUUGCUUUAGUCCAUGUAUAAAGUGGAACGAGCCAGGAUUAAAUGAAUAGACAUCUACUAUCUGGAAAAAAUAGUUGAAGUUUCAGAGUCAUAAGCACAUGGGACGCUAAUAAUACAGAGUUGGCAAAGCAGAUGGCUAUUUGUUGGCGUGAAGUGAUGAACCUGAAAAACAAAACUCCAAGGUUGUCCCAGUUAUGCCAAGAAAAUUUAAAUUAAUUUUCAUCCACAGAGAACUACAUCUUCAAGCACAUUAAAUACCAAAAAAACAAAUUUGAAUGUGUCACUUGUUUUCCUGUUUAAAAAUGUGGGUAAAUUUUAGAUGUCCAUGGGGACUUUGAAGCAAUCUCAAAAAUCUCCAAAAGUUUAGGGAACAAAUGUGGAAAGUUUUAUCCCAUUUGAUGUUUGCAAAUGAAAGUACAGUAUCUGUAUCUUCUACACUGCAGAAAAGCGUGUGUGUUAGAUGCAUUUAGUCAGAAAAAAUAGAGGUAUUUGGGCUGCAGGAGACCUGUUGUAUAGGGUAUUUUUUUAAAUGUCAUUUAUACAAGUUUUCAUGUAUACAGCACUGUAUCUUUGGUACCACUGUAAAGAUGACUUGCAAACUCUAGAGGGAAAGUAGCAUGAAUAAUAAUAAUAAAAGAUUUAAUUU